rnacentral:rRNA from 1 species
UACGUAGGGUGCAAGCGUUAAUCGGAAUUACUGGGCGUAAAGCGUGCGCAGGCGGUGAUGUAAGACAGUUGUGAAAUCCCCGGGCUCAACCUGGGAACUGCAUCUGUGACUGCAUUGCUGGAGUGCGGCAGAGGGGGAUGGAAUUCCGCGUGUAGCAGUGAAAUGCGUAGAUAUGCGGAGGAACACCGAUGGCGAAGGCAAUCCCUGGGCCUGCACUGACGCUCAUGCACGAAAGCGUGGGGAGCAAACACGG